GGCUGAGCUCAGAAUACAAACAUCCAUGGACAGAGCUGCAGGAAGGAAGGCCAAGUGAUUGGAUGCCCGUAGCUGGAUAUGUGCGAUGGUGGAGCUUGGUGAAGGCCUCUCUUUCUGUUUCAACUUUCUCAGUGAGAUAGGAGCAAGGGCAUUUUGGGAUGGCACAUGAGACCUGGAGAAAGGCUUGCUUCUCUAGACACAGACAUCACUCCCCACAUUCCUGUUUCUUUGGUCAGAACUCAGUCAUGUGGCCACACCUACCUGCCAGGGGAGCUGGGAGACAGAGUCUAACUAUGUUCUCAGAAAGAAGGGGAACAUCUCUGCCACAGGGCUUCCCUGGUGGCGCAGUGGUUGAGAGUCUGCCUGCCGAUGCAGGGAAC